rnacentral:rRNA from 1 species
CCUAGCUACGGUCCGAGUGCCGAGGGAAGAGGAAGGGUGCGAGGUUUUGCUGGAUUUACUGGGUGUAGAGGUGGUGCAGGUGGAUUGGUGAGUUUUGGGUGAAAUCUUGCCGCUGAACGGCGAAACUGCCUUAGAUACUAUCAGUCGUGGAUAAGCGAGAGGUUCGUGGAAUUCCGAGUGUAGCAGUGAAAUGUGUAGAUAUUCGGAAGAACACCAGUGGCGAAGGCAGCGAACUGGCGCUUUAUCGACGCUCAUGCACGAAAGCAUGGGGAUCAAACAGGAUUAGAUACCCCGGUAGUC